rnacentral:misc_RNA from 1 species
GAAAUGCGAUAAGUAAUGUGAAUUGCAGAAUUCCGUGAAUCAUCGAAUCUUUGAACGCACAUUGCGCCCUCUGGUAUUCCGGGGGGCAUGCCUGUCCGAGCGUCAUUGCGAACCCUCAAGCACGGCUUGUGUGUUGGGCCGCCGUCCCCUCGUUUGGAGGGGACGGGCCUGAAAGGCAGCGGCGGCGUCGCGUCCGGUCCUCGAGCGUAUGGGGCUCUGUCACGCGCUCAAGGAGGGGUCCGGCCGGGGCCAUAGCCUCUGAAGGUCAAUUCUUCCAAGGUUGACCUCGGAUCAGGUAGGAGUACCCGCUGAACUUAA